rnacentral:lncRNA from 1 species
GAGGACACUCCUCAAUUCAGAGCAUGUUACCAUAGUCUCUCGAGACUGAAGGAUGCCUAUGGAAUGGGUAGUUAGAGAUCAACAUUUUUAUGUCAAUAGCUUAUGAAAUUUUUGUUAUUGAAAAAAUAACAUUUUCCAGUUAUCACACACAGGUUACAUGCAGAAUCUGAACUCCUUUGCUUAACAUGAAGAAAAAGAAUGGCCGGACAUAUCGAAAAAGACGAAGAAAGCAGUCUAGAACUUUCUCCUUAAGCUGUGCAAGUCUUAGUCACAAAGAUGAAUACAUAUUUCUUAAGAAGUGGCUGAAGGAAAGAGGUUAUGAGGACACUAAAUUAAUGCCAGCAGAGUUUCCAGGUAAUUAUUCAUAGUUUUUAAAAGAACAAAACUCCCAAGACUUUAUAUUUAAUCUAGUAGAAGAAUAAGUCCACAUGAUCUGUAGAAUGCAAUUAUAUUUUGCUUCCACCUGAGGAGGCAGGAAUAUUCUGUAGAUUGUGUGGACUUACUUACAUGAAACUAAUCAGGUGAUUUGCAAUCGUAAGAAGUCCUUGCUAUAGCAUUCUUUGAGUAGAGGAAAUCGGGCAGAACAGUGAUUUACAACCGCAGGUGACAAGGUAUAGUAUUUUAGAGUGUGGUUGAAUAUCCUUGACCAUCUGUGAGUUGCACUGAAAUAACAGAAUUUAGAAACAUGUGGCAUUCCUAUUUAUACCCCUUUCAGACAACCUUGCUUCCUGCAGCUCCCCUGCACAUGUCUUGGGAAUGCGCAGCAGUGGCUGCUGUUCUCCAAGGGAAAUAAGAAUCGCUUCUUUGGUGAUGUACACAGAAGCAUAUUCUGCUACUUAUAGCCCACCUCAUAGUGCUUAAAGUACUCAUUGGGCAGUUUACAACAUAAUUAUGCAAACAACACUUUGCCACUCGGCAAGGUGGGUACUCUACUGACCUCAGAAGGAUGGAAGGCUGAGUCAUCCUUGAACUACCUUCCUGAACCCAUCCAGAUUGAACCUUGGUCCGGAGCAGAGUCUGGACUGCAGUUUAACCACUGCACCACAAGAGUGCUAUGGGGCAAAGCUAAUUUUAGUCCUCUAAUUGUAUACAACAAGGAAGAGAGCCAUGUUGAUCUGUGAGAAGAAAACAGUAUGUUUUCACAUAAUAGUAUGUGAGGUUCCAAGCCUCCAUCCCUUUAUAGAAUUAUCUGCCCUGAUAAAGUGCUUUGGAGAAUGUGAAAACUGGUCGUGGAAUUGCAUUGAGCUCCUUGUGGGUUUUUGAUUUUGUUUAGUGGAAGUCAAGAUUGGUGAUGGCUUUUCUGCCCUGUUUCUGGAUGAAGGAGAGCUUGAUUGUAAAGGAGCAGUUCACUGAGGAUGAUUGAGUGAAUGGAGUGAGAGAGAGGAUAUGGAGAAAAGAGAAAAUGACUGAAUAAAUGGUGUGUGGGUAGGCA